ACAACGAACGAUGAGAAGUCAGCAGAGGCCGUAGUAGUGAAGAAAUCCCGCAAUGGGGAUGGAGCAAAGGG
rnacentral:ncRNA from 1 species